UUGGGAAUUCCUUGCAAAUCUCAUUAAAUGGCAGAUUCUGAUUCAGUAGGUGUGGGACAGGACCUGAGAUUCUGCAUUUCUAAUGAGCUCUCAGGGAAUAUUGCU
rnacentral:pre_miRNA from 1 species